UAAUUAUCCCCCAUUCGGCCAUUCCCAUUUCCCCCUCAGUUCCUCCAUUUCCUCCUUCGCAGAAUCGCAGCCAGCCAGCCACCGCCGUCGCCUCCCAUAGUCCCAUUCCCCUCAAUUCUAAUCAGUAAUCAGUCUCAAUCACUCGAAAUCUCUAAAUUCAUUUUUCCCCUCCUUUCAAACUUCAACUGGGGUUUUCUUAAGCUGAUUGAUGGACUAAAGUCUUAAAACUUUUGGGCUAUUAGAGAGUUUUCUAUGAUUGCUUUAUUGGUAAUCUCAGAGGUGAGAAGCUCACUGGAAAUAGGAUGUGAAGCUCUACACAUGAAGGAAGGAUUACAUUCAUUUGCUGCAUUUAGUGCUACA